GUGAGCCGAGAUCGCACCACUGUACUCCAGCCUGGGUGACAGAGCGAGACUCUGUCUCAAAAAAACAAUGUCACGAGGCAAGUGUUACCUCGUUUUGCAGAUGUGAAAACGGAGGUGCAGGGUCAUGCAGCUAAGUGUAGUGGGCUUGGUUGCCCUGUGGGCCAGGCUCUUUCUCUCCAAACUCCUGCCUCAGGCCUGGUCCCCAGCCCAGCAUCUCGCUGGCUACAGGAGGUUCAGGGCAGGAAAGUGACAUGGGCCACCCACCUGCCCUCUGUCCCGCAGCCAUAGACAACUAGAGCAGCUGGAAGGGAAGCGCUCAGUCCUGGCCAAGGAGCUGGUGGAGGUGAGGGAGGCGCUGAGCCGCGCCAUGCUGCAGCGGGACAUGCUGCAGGCCGAGAAGGCCGAGGCGGCUGAGGCGCUGACCAAGGGGCUCCAGAGCAGCAGGCACACUGCUGGUGGGGGAGGCACGUCUGUGCAGAGGUCCACUGUGGUCUUCAGCCCAGAGCACGGACAUCCCAACCAGGGCUGCAAACUAGAGUUUGGGGCCCAGAUGGUGGGCUGGCCUGAUGGAACAGACAAGAACUGAGGAGACUCUCACCGCUACUGGAGGACCAGACUGAUGGGAGACAGAAGCUGUGCACGGACUGAUGGGAGACAGAAGCUGUGCAUGGACUGAUGGGAGACAGAAGCUGCGCAUGGACUGAUGGGAGACAGAAGC
rnacentral:lncRNA from 1 species